rnacentral:rRNA from 1 species
GUAACGCUAGCGGCAGGCCUAACACAUGCAAGCGCGGGGCAGGCACGGGUAGCAAUACCUGGUGGCGACCGGCGCACGGUGCGUAACGCGUAUGCAACCUGCCCCCAUCAGGGGAAUAGCCCGCCGAAAGGCGGAUUAACUGCCCCAUAGGCCCAGGGCGCCGCAUGGCGCUAUGGGUAAAGCUCCGGCGGAUGGGGAUGGGCAUGCGUGCCAUUAGCUAGUUGGGGCGGUAACGGCGCACCAAGGCGACGAUGGCUAGGGGGUCUGAGAGGAUGGUCCCCCACACUGGUACUGAGACACGGACCAGACUCCUACGGGAGGCAGCAGUGAGGAAUAUUGGUCAAUGGACGAGAGUCUGAACCAGCCAAGUCGCGUGCAGGAAGAAUGUCCUUAAUGGAUUGUAAACUGCUUUUGCAGGGGGAAUAAAGUGCAUCACGUGUGAUGUUUUGUAUGUACUCUGCGAAUAAGGAUCGGCUAACUCCGUGCCAGCAGCCGC